rnacentral:rRNA from 1 species
UACAGAGGGUGCGAGCGUUACUCGGAAUUACUGGGCGUAAAGCGUGCGUAGCCGGUUACGUAAGUCGGCUGUGAAAGCCCCGGGCUCAACCUGGGAAUUGCAUUCGAGACUGCGUAGCUAGGAUGCGGAAGAGGGAAGCGGAAUUUCCGGUGUAGCGGUGAAAUGCGUAGAUAUCGGAAGGAACACCAGUGGCGAAAGCGGCUUCCUGGUCCAGCAUCGACGUUCAGGCACGAAAGCGUGGGGAGCAAACAGG